rnacentral:rRNA from 1 species
AUUGAACGCUGGCGGCAUGCUUCACACAUGCAAGUCGAAGGGUAACAGGGUGCUUGCACCGCUGACGAGUGGCGAACGGGUGAGUAAUGCGUCGGAACGUGCCGAGUAGUGGGGGAUAACGCAGCGAAAGUUGCGCUAAUACCGCAUACGUACUGAGGUAGAAAGUGGGGGACCUUCGGGCCUCACGCUAUUCGAGCGGCCGACGUCUGAUUAGCUAGUAGGUGAGGUAAAGGCUCACCUAGGCGACGAUCAGUAGCGGGUCUGAGAGGAUGAUCCGCCACACUGGGACUGAGACACGGCCCAGACUCCUACGGGAGGCAGCAGUGGGGAAUUUUGGACAAUGGGCGAAAGCCUGAUCCAGCCAUGCCGCGUGUCUGAAGAAGGCCUUCGGGUUGUAAAGGACUUUUGUCAGGGAGGAAAUCCCUAGUGCUAAUAACACUGGGGGAUGACAGUACCUGAAGAAUAAGCACCGGCUAACUACGUGCCAGCCGCCGCAGUAA